rnacentral:tRNA from 1 species
GGGCGCUUAGCUCAGUUGGCUAGAGCAACGCAUUUACACUGCGUAGGCCGCAGGUUCGAGUCCUGCAGCGCCCA